rnacentral:rRNA from 1 species
CCUACGGGUGGCAGCAGUAGGGAAUAUUGCGCAAUGGGCGAAAGCCUGACCCAGCAACGCCGCGUGGAGGAAGAAGGUUUUCGGAUUGUAAACUUCUUUUGUUAGAGAAGAUCAUGACGGUAUGUAACUAAAAAGCACCGGCUCAAUCCGGGCCAGCAGCCGCGGUAAUACGGAGGGUGCACGCGUUACUCGGAAUGUCUGGGCGGAAAGAGCGCGUAGGCGGGAGAGCAAGUCAGAUGUGAAAUCCUAUGGCUCAACCAUAGAACUGCAUUUGAAACUGUUAUACUAGAGUAUGGGAGAGGUAGGUGGAAUUCUUGGUGUAGGGGUAAAAUGCGUAGAGAUAAGGAGGAAUACUAGUUGCGAAGGCGACCUGCUAGAACAUAACUGACGCUGAUGCGCGAAAGCGUGGGGAGCAAACAGGAUUAGAUACCCUAGUAGUC